UCGUGAACUUGUUUCCGGGCCUUGGCCCGUUGACAGAUUUUACACCCAUCCAACCAAACCUCAAAACCAAACAUUUUGACCCUACCAACCCAUUCGACUGAACCGUAACGGUUGCUUCUCUGGAAGCAAUCGGCGAUUUAAACAAAUCAUACGACUUUCAGCAGCGGAUGUCUUGGUUCCCACAACGAUGAAGAACGCAGCGAAAUGCGAUACGUAAUGCGAAUUGCAGAGUCCAGCGAGUCAUCAAAUGUUCGAACGCACCUGGCACUUCCGGGAUAUUCCUGGGAGUAUGCUUGUUAGAGUGUCUGUUGGACCAUCUCCCUUGUUCCUUCGGGAAGAAGUGGCGGUAGUUGCCGUACAUUUUGCUCUUUGAGCGAGAUGAUCGGUUAAGCACUCGAGAUAACAACCGUUGAGUUCAACGGGCGUGGUAGCGCUGGGCCUCAUGGCUAAGCACAAAUCCUCCCCGGUAGAAGUCUCGGUUGAUCUAACAGAGGAACUGGAAGAAGCUUCGGCUGAAUCCACUUUUCAG
rnacentral:rRNA from 1 species